rnacentral:lncRNA from 1 species
GCUUUGCGAGAAUGUUCAGAUUAUUUAAUUGUCUGUGACAAAGACCUUAUUCCAUUCAGUACUUUAUUUUUAAUGUAUUGAAACAUCACAUUGUUCUUAUAGCACCGCAACUAUUGUUAGCUGUACCGAGUUGCUUGUUGCACUGUUAUGGAAUGUUUUCGAACAAUAUGUCAUGUGUUCAAGAUUGAACAUUAUUUAUAAAUUCUACCAGCGAUUUCAAGCAAAUGAAAACAAUGUAUAUACCGAACGUGGAGAGUCCGUAUUCAAAAACAUUAUUAGAUAUGAAUUACAAAAAAUGCUGUUCAAACUCGAUCACGUUGAAGAUCAUUUAUCAACAGAUUUCGAAUAUGAUGUGCAAAGAUUUGACUAUGUAAAUGAGGAAUAUGUUAUGGUGGAUAUGGGUGACAGCCCGUCCAUAACAUUUUUUAUAGACCAUAAAAUCAAUCCACACAUGAAGUAUUCGUUUGUGGAACAAAUAGUUAUUGCGGCCAUAGUGAAGAAUCAAUUUAAAUUGGUAGUGGUUGUAAACAAUGCUCAGUAAAUCAGUAAAUAGUCAGAAGCUGUCUCAAAACAUAAUCCAAACCACUUGUCUGGGAUAGAAAAGUAAAAUAAAUGUUAGUGAUUCGCGGCAACAUUGGUACUACUCUAAGCACGACUAUUAAAUUGCAUCUAAGAGAAAAUUUUGUUCCACCAACGAUGAGUUUGAAGAAAAUGAACAGACGAAUAAAGGAUUUAGAGUCGAUACAGUUGAUGAUUUUAAGUCACCCAGAAAAGCCUUAGAUACUUAAUAAUGUCUAAUUCACACAUACUUAUGUAAUACAAUUUUGCUGAUCAAGAAUCCAAUUUUAAUAACGCAGAGGGCCUCAACAAAUUUAAAUUGCAAAGAAACACAUAACUAGUUUGGACAUUGGUAUCUUUUCUGAAGGGAAAGUGCAUCUAGUUGGAUGCGUUA